AACGAACGCUGGCGGCAUGCCUAACACAUGCAAGUCGAACGAGCCCUUCGGGUCUAGUGGCGCACGGGUGCGUCACCCGUGGGAACCUGCCCUUAGGUUCGGCAUACCUCCCCGAAAGGGGUACUAUUACCGGAUAAUGUCUUCGGCCCAAAGAUUUAUCGCCUUUGGUUGGGCCCGCGUUGGAUUAGCUAGUUGGUAGGGUAAAAGCCUACCAAGGCGCCGAUCCAUAGCUGGUCUGAGAGGAUGAUCAGCGACACUGGGACUGAGACACGGCCCAGACUCCUACGGGAGGCAGCAGUGGGGAAUAGUGGAAAAUGGGGUAAAGCAUGAUGCAGCAAGGACGCGUGAGUGAUGAAGGCCUUAGGGUUGUAAAGCGCUUUUAACCGGGAUGAUAAUGACAGUACCGGGAGAAUAAGCGCCGGCUAACUCCGUG
rnacentral:rRNA from 1 species